rnacentral:rRNA from 1 species
GACGAACGCUGGCGGCGUGCUUAACACAUGCAAGUCGAACGAAGAGCGACGGAAGCUUGCUUCUAUCAAUCUUAGUGGCGAACGGGUGAGUAACGCGUAAUCAGCCUGCCCUUCAGAGGGGGACAACAGUUGGAAACGACUGCUAAUACCGCAUACGAUCUAACCUCGGCAUCGAGGAUAGAUGAAAGGUGGCCUCUACAUGUAAGCUAUCACUGAAGGAGGGGAUUGCGUCUGAUUAGGUAGUUGGAGGGGUAACGGCCCACCAAGGCGAUGAUCAGUAGCAGGUCUGAGAGGAGGAACGGCCACAUUGGGACGGAGACACGGCACAGACUCCUACGGGAGGCAGCAGUGGGGAAUCGUCAGCAAUGGACGAAAGUCUGACGGAGCAACGCCGCGGGAGGGAUGACGGACGUCGGGUUGUAAAGCUCUGUUAAUCGGGACGAAAGGCCUUCUUGCGAAUAGGGAGAAGGAUUGACGGUAACGGAAUAGAAAGCCACGGCUAACUACGUG